AACGCUAGCUACAGGCUUAACACAUGCAAGUCGAGGGGUUUCGCGGGAGCUUGCUUCCAAGAGACGACCGGCGCACGGGUGAGUAACGCGUAUCCAACCUGCCCUUCAUAUUGGGAUAGCCUUCCGAAAGGGAGAUUAAUACCGAAUAACAUGAGAAGAUUGCAUGAACCUCUCAUGAAAGCUCCGGCGAUGAAGGAUGGGGAUGCGUUCCAUUAGGUAGUAGGCGGGGUAACGGCCCACCUAGCCGACGAUGGAUAGGGGUUCUGAGAGGAAGGUCCCCCACACUGGAACUGAGACACGGUCCAGACUCCUACGGGAGGCAGCAGUGAGGAAUAUUGGUCAAUGGGCGCAAGCCUGAACCAGCCAAGUAGCGUGAAGGAUGACUGCCCUAUGGGUUGUAAACUUCUUUUAUACGGGAACAAACCCUGGUACGUGUACCAGAUUGCGUGUACCGUAUGAAUAAGCAUCGGCUAACUCCGUGCCAGCAGCCGCGGUAAUACGGAGGAUGCGAGCGUUAUCCGGAUUUAUUGGGUUUAAAGGGAGCGUAGGUGGUCUGUUAAGCCAGCUGUGAAAUACUGUAGCUCAACUACAGCCGUGCAGUUGGAACUGGCAGACUUGAGUGCACUAGAGGAAGGUGGAAUUCGUGGUGUAGCGGUGAAAUGUUUAGAUAUCACGAAGAACUCCGAUUG
rnacentral:rRNA from 1 species